UCUCCCAGGAUGGUGAAUAGAGGACUUCUAAAGCCCAGAGACAGAUUACCAUUUAAAUGGUGUGAGGUUUAAGUUUGCUGCCUGCUGAAGACUGCAGGGGCAGCUAUACUGUACGAGACAAUGGGCCGUCACACGGCGAGCCCGUCCUGGGAUUAGAAUUGAACUCUUCUGCUGAUUAACUCUCUACGGUACACAGGUUAAGUCGAGUCUGAGAGGAAGCCCAGCAGUUAGAGAAGCAUCGCCUGGCGCUGCCUCGUUUGAUCAUUUUCUUAAGAGCAAUCUCAAAUCAAAACGACUACUAUUACUCCAAGUGAAUGUAGCUGCUCCUCAGUUUCAUUAACUCUCUUUAUGGGGAGACGAGCACAGUGACUGGGUGAGCUGCUGAGUGUUACUGGAUGGAGCACUGGUUUAUAAAGAGGUUCAUUUAAAGCAGUCAGGCACAAACUGGCUGUUAGGAAACAUGUUGUGGAGGGCGGAAACAUGGAGGCAGGAAAGCAGCAGAAAAUGUGACAGAAGUAACCAAAACACUGCUGUCCGAGUCGGAAGCCCACAGCGUUCCAAAGUGUUUCCAGGACAGUGAGCACAGUGUGAGCCGGGAACACAAACUCACUGCAACCAACCAUUCUCCCAGGUACUACCAGGAAGUUAGACUCGGAUGAAUAUCGAUGACGGAUAGUUUAUGAUAACAAAAUACUGGCAAAUAUACAGAUUAAAGGGUAAAAGCUUACACUAAAGGUGUCUAACAUAAGGCACGGGGGCCAGAAUCACCACAACAAAGACUCCCAUGUGGCCAGGACUCAUAUCGCGAUAUGACAUUUCUUAUCCCAAUAACAAUAUACAUCGCAAAAUAGUUUAUUUUCUGUAAAUACAGUGAAUCUCAGGCAACUCGACUUGUGUGACGUGUUUUCAGCUGGGCGUCGAUUGUAAGCGCCAUUUAUAGUUACCUCGUGUUUUUAUCUGAGGUGAUUUAUUUGAUGCAUAUUCAGAAAUUUGAUGUUUGAGAAUAAUGUCGAUCGAUCACAAACAAUAGCAUAAUAUGAAACAAUAGAUGUCUACAUAUCGUCAUCUGACACAUAUCAUUAUAUCAAACAGCACUACAUGUGGCCAGCUGGAAGUGUUUGAAAAUGUCACGAGAGUUUCAACUUUGAACGGUAUUGUCCAGGUUUUGAAGCUUUUUCUAUUUAGAAAAGUAUAAACUCAUCUCCACCAAAUUAGUGAGGAAAUAUAUAAAUGACAGGAAAGUUCAUGUUUUUCCAUUUAAAAAACAAAUAUUUU